rnacentral:rRNA from 1 species
UACGUAGGGACCAAGCGUUGUUCGGAUUUACUGGGCGUAAAGGGCGCGUAGGCGGCAAUUCAAGUCAGUUGUGAAAUCUCCGAGCUUAACUCGGAACGGUCAACUGAUACUGCUUUGCUAGAGUACAGAAGGGGCAAUCGGAAUUCUUGGUGUAGCGGUGAAAUGCGUAGAUAUCAAGAGGAACACCUGAGGUGAAGACGGGUUGCUGGGCUGAUACUGACGCUGAGGCGCGAAAGCUAGGGUAGCAAACGGGG